rnacentral:ribozyme from 1 species
UAACUGUACUAUUAUAUAGUCCCAGGCCCAGUCUCAUCAGCUGCGGUCUAGUCUCUCUCAUGCUCAAUGGCACUGGCAUGAUUGAGGCAACACACCUGGAUGCGGGGAACUCUCGUCAGGCUCAUGGUACCAAGCGCCGGUGGUAACACCCCGGCGUUCCUAUGAUACGGGUACGGUAAUAAUCCAUGAGAUAGAGACAAUCCGCAGCCGAGUCGGCUGCCCGAGAGGGAUGCUGGCCGGUUCAACGCUCGCUAAGGUGUGGGUUGUCUUGUUAUAUAGAUGGCUUAAGGUACGGGCUACGCCCACCCGAGAGGGUGACACUGUCUACCGGGAGUGCAAACCGAGACGCAGUGUUUGCAGUCCAGCGAUUGCAAGGUAUCACGG